UUCCCAUCUCUCCCUCAUAACUUUUCACGUUGGCGUGGCGCAGGUUCAGCGUGUACAAAGGGAAGCGCGUAGGGACGACCUUCUCCCACAUUGGCGGGUGGAAAUGGUAACUGAUGUCGUGUACGGGCGCACUGGUAAUUUAAAGUGACCCGCACGGAAUCCGGAGAGGGCUGCUUUACAGUACUUUUAGAAAACAAGAAUGUAAACUACAUCGGCCCCCGAGAAAAGCUGUCGGAUGAGCGUGUGGUUCACCAGAGUAUCGAAGGAGGGCAAAGGCUUAUGACUGGGAGUCUGGCUGCUUUCUCAAACUCAGACCAGAGCCAGUGACAGCACCACAGCCAGCUUUCAGUAAUCUGGAAAAUCCCUCGUUUCCAAAAAUAGGGCCAGAAUUUUACAGAGGUAAAUUGAUUAGGCCCGGGACUCUGUAUUCAUACGUAGUCAUCUCAGGUAGAAUGAGAGAGAACAAUCUCAUUUAGAUUUUUUCCCUCAGUGAUACUAACUAGCAAUUCCCAGAAUUUCCUCAAAUUUGAAGUAAAAACAAUGAUAAUUAUUUAAAUUACUGGAGUCUAGAGAUGGAGGGAAAGGGAAUAAAUCUUGAUUUACUCUAACCAUCUUUUUUAUCCCACACUUGACCCUCUGAGAAUUAUCCCCAGAUGAGAAGUCCCAUUACCUUUUUAUUACAUAGCUCAGUUUUAAGGUUUAAUUUGUUUAAUUAUGAGAACUGUAUUGAAAUGUGCACCUGUAGAGCAGAGGGAAUUUGAAUACAUUUCAGUAUUUGUCAAUGAUUGUCACUAAAGCAAAACAUAUUUAAAAACCUCAUUUAAAAAAAAAGCAUUGUCAACCUUACUUAGUAAAACCUUAGAUCAGUAGUUCUGAACCCUAGCUGUACAUUGGAAUCCUCUGAGGAGCUUUUAAAACAUCCUGAUGCCUGGGCCUUACCUGCAGAAACUGAUAAAAUUGAUUUGGGAUGGCCCAGAUUGGUUGGAUUUUGCCCAUCUUCCAGUUCACCCAAGAAGGUGUAAAUCUGGUGCUGGUUAAAGCAGUUAACCUCUCUGUGUGUCAUCUCUUUACUUUUCUGACUAGGCUGCUUCCAGGGCAACUUCCCUUGCCAAUGAUCAGGAGGGUCUUAAAAUACUAUAACAACCUAUAAUCUUUAAAAACUAAUUGAUAAUAUGCUAUUUCCCUGGUUCUUAUAAUCUAUGGUUAUGUAGGGUAGGGAAAGCUGGGUGAAUGGUGCACAGGAACUCUACUAUUUUUGCAACUUCUUGUGAGUCUUCAAUUAUUUAAUAAAAUUAAUUUGUUAUAUGCUUCAAUGAAAUCACCUAUGUUUAUAAUGACCUGAGACUAAUACAGUUUAACUUAUUUUUAGGACUAUUAAUGCAAAUUGUUUUUCUCUUUAUAGGGUCUUCCAUCAUGCCUCUCCAAAAAGUUCACUUGGUGAUGUCUUGAUAUGCAUCAUAAUAUAUUUUUAUUCUCUAAGUCCGUGAUUAAUCCAAAAAAGUUGACAAGCAUACAAAGAAGUUCUGGGAGGAGCAGGGGUUACUUGCUCUACUCUUCAUAUCUUUUCUCAGUGGACCUCCCUGCUCCCCACCUCCUGUACCUGGUAAUCAUUUCCAGAAGAUCAGAACCACCACUUUUCCAUAACUUUGUGCCUAUUUACCACUCCUGUCUGACUGAACCUCAGAUUAUAUCCAAGAGGUAAUAACUAUUUUCACUGUUCCUCCCUUCAGAUUCAACAAAUGUGGUUGAGGAGGCGAAAGCCACGCGAUCCUUUGCCCUUUGUUCCCUUUCACAAUAAGGAACCUCAUAACAUUUUGCCUGCUUUGGGAUACGCGAACUUAAACAAGGCAUUAUUAUGGCAUUUACACUUUUUAGGAGAGGACUCAGGUGAUAACUCACUCCGCCUGCUGUUCAAGCGCGAUCUCAGAUCUAGAGGACAGGAGUGUUUCCCGAGGGUUGUACCGCUGGAGGACGGCCCGAAGGGGGCUGGUCAGUUGGCAAGUCCGUUUCCUCUUUCAACGAACUCGCACCGUUAGACCCGUGACCUGAGUGUAUCCAGCCGCCCAUCCGGGUCCGGCUGUCCUCACCGAGCCCGACGGUGCUCAGCCCUGGAACAAUCGCUAUUAGCUCUGCCACUGAACACGGGCAAGACUUGGCUGGGCUGCCCUGGGAUCGGGAGGGCGAAAAGAUUUCACAACGGUCGAGAGGGCGGAGCGCGCCCACUUCGUCAUUUCUAGGAAGCCUCGAGCCUGCUAGGCCGCAGGGGCCAACAGGAAGUGCCGCUCACCGGACCAAGGGACCGCAAGUCUAGGGCCACCUCGCGCACGCGCGCCGCGCCCUUCCUUCCCGUGACUGCGGCCGAGCGGCUCCCUCCGCCAACUGCCGGAU